rnacentral:rRNA from 1 species
UGAAUCAUAGAAUUUCUUUAAAUUCAUGAUGUCGUAAGGGAAAAUAAUGAUAAUACCUUACUAUGAGUGUCGUCCAAAUCUGGUGCCAGAAGACUCGGUAAGACCAGAGACGCAAACGUUAAUCAUCUUAAACAGGCGUAAAGGGUUUGUAGGCAGCUUACAUCAGAAUAUGAUUGCGAAAUAAAGUAGUCUAAUUGAAAGCUAGAAUCAAAAAGAGGUUAUAGUGUAUAACGCCUAGAGGAGGGCUGAUAUCCGUAGAUCCUAGGCAGAAUACUCAGGGCGAAGGCCACUCUCCAUUAAUGAUUGACGCUGAGAAACGAAGGUUAGGGUAGGAAAUAGGAUUAGAUACCCCGGUACUCCUUUCUGUAAACGAUGAAUGGUAGUCAUUAGUUAAAACUAACUAGAGACGAAGUUAACACAAUAACCAUUCCGCCUUGUGAGUACUACUGCAAAGUAG